AAUGAACGCUGGCGGCGCGCCUAAUACAUGCAAGUCGAGCGAGAAGACGUAGCAAUACGUUUGUAAAGCGGCGAACGGGUGAGGAAUACAUGGGUAACCUACCCUCGAGUGGGGAAUAACUAGCCGAAAGGUUAGCUAAUACCGCGUACGCUCCUUGGACUUCGGUUCAGGGAGGAAAGCGAUACCGUGGGUAUCGCGCUCUUGGUUGGGCUCAUGUCCUAUCAGCUUGUUGGUGAGGAACGGCUCACCAAGGCUUCGACGGGUAGCUGGUCUGAGAGGACGAUCAGCCACACUGGCACUGCGACACGGGCCAGACUCCUACGGGAGGCAGCAGUAAGGAAUAUUGCGCAAUGGGCGAAAGCCUGACGCAGCGACGCCGCGUGGGGGAGUGAAGGUCUUCGGAUUGU
rnacentral:rRNA from 1 species